rnacentral:tRNA from 2 species
GCUGGAGUGGCGGAAUUGGUAUACGCGCUAGUCUUAGGAACUAGUGCCGCAAGGCUUAAGGGUUCGAGUCCCUUCUCCAGCACAA